rnacentral:rRNA from 1 species
AUUGAACGCUGGCGGAAUGCUUUACACAUGCAAGUCGAACGGCAGCACGGACUUCGGUCUGGUGGCGAGUGGCGAACGGGUGAGUAAUGUAUCGGAACGUGCCCAGUCGUGGGGGAUAACAUAGUGAAAAUUACGCUAAUACCGCAUACGAUCUAUGGAUGAAAGCGAGGGAUCGCAAGACCUCGCGCGAUUGGAGCGGCCGAUAUCAGAUUAGGUAGUUGGUGGGGUAAAGGCCCACCAAGCCAACGAUCUGUAGCUGGUCUGAGAGGACGACCAGCCACACUGGAACUGAGACACGGUCCAGACUCCUACGGGAGGCAGCAGUGGGGAAUUUUGGACAAUGGGCGAAAGCCUGAUCCAGCCAUUCCGCGUGCAGGAUGAAGGCCCUCGGGUUGUAAACUGCUUUUGUACAGAACGAAAAGGUUUCUACUAAUACUAGGAGCUCAUGACGGUACUGUAAGAAUAAGCACCGGCUAACUACGUGCCAGCCGCCGCAGUAA